rnacentral:rRNA from 1 species
GACGAACGCUGGCGGCGUGCUUAACACAUGCAAGUCGAACGGAAAGGCCCUGCUUGCAGGGUCCUCGAGUGGCGAACGGGUGAGUAACACGUGGGUGAUCUGCCCUGCACUUCGGGAUAAGCCUGGGAAACUGGGUCUAAUACCGGAUAUGACCUUCCAUAUAGUGUGGGGGGUGGAAAGAUUUAUCGGUGUGGGAUGAGCCCGCGGCCUAUCAGCUUGUUGGUGGGGUAAUGGCCUACCAAGGCGUCGACGGGUAGCCGGCCUGAGAGGGUGGACGGCCACAUUGGGACUGAGAUACGGCCCAGACUCCUACGGGAGGCAGCAGUGGGGAAUAUUGCACAAUGGGCGGAAGCCUUAUGCAGCGACGCCGCGUGGGGGAUGACGGCCUUCGGGUUGUAAACCUCUUUCGACAGGGACGAAGCUUCGGUGACGGUACCUGUAUAAGAAGCACCGGCUAACUACGUG